rnacentral:sRNA from 1 species
AAAUAGCCCCGAUUGAAGGGAAAAUCCUUUUUAAAAAAAUGCACCGAAAAGGUGCAUUUUUUUAAAAAGAUUGGAAUGAAAAGCGGGUACAAUC